CAGCAAGCGCCACCUCUUUGAGAAGGAACUGGCGGGCCAGAGCCGAGCAGAACCAGCCUCCAGCCGGAAGGAGAACUUGAGGCUCUCAGGGGUUGUGACAUCAAGGCUCAACCUGUGGAUCAGCAGGACCCAGGAAUCUGGAGAUCAGGACCCCCAGGCACAGAAAGCAUCAUCUGCAACCGAGAGGACUCAGUGGGGACAGAAAUCUGACUCCUCGCUGGACGCUGAGGUGUGACAAGCCCCGCCAAGACAGACCUGCAAGUCUUCGUCUCAAGGGACCUCCCUCAUGCCAGGCCCCUGCCUCUCACAGCAGCACCCUUUCCUCUCAUUGUCCCUGUUCCCUUUUUGCCUGUGGAUCUGUUUGGCCAGGGUCCCUGGGGUCAGGAAUAUUUGCAAGACUCAGCCAGCUCCUUCCCAGCCCAGCCUCUUGGGGCUGGGACUUUCUCACCCUGCGGCAGGCACAACAGAUGCUGGGACCCAGUCUCUGCCCAGGUCACAGCACAAGUGCACAUCAGCACUAUGGGGCCUAUGUCCUGCCCAGAGACCUCUGCUCCUUCCUGCUCACAUCCACAGUCAGGGCACGGCGCCCCUCAAGAACUCCAGAGUCACCUGUCUCAUCGGCUCCCAGCAAGUGCCUCUUUGUCUAUGAUGUCCCCCUUCUCUGAGGCCUGGACCCACCCAUCUUUGUCCCUGGGGCCUGCUCCCAGCCACUGAGGCCCGCUCUGGCCAGGGGAGAAGGAGCUGCCGUGCGUCUUCCCUGUGCCCCGUCUCCCUGCUUGGUUCUCCCCUCCCUUCCCUGGCCGGCUGCCAUGGCCAGGAGCUAAGUGCCUUUUUGUGUGCAACCACUUACCCUUUCUCUGAAAAACCUGUUCUCAGGAAGGAUCUGAUAAACUCAUUU
rnacentral:lncRNA from 10 species